AGGCUUGUAGCUCACSGUGGUUAGAGCGCACCCCUGAUAAGGGUGAGGUCGGUGGUUCAAGUCCACUCAGGCCUA
rnacentral:tRNA from 1 species